AUAGGAACUCGGUCUUGUUAUCACAGGAACGCUGCCUGUCUUCAACUUGACUAAAGAUACCAGUGGAAACCAGAAUCAAUUGAUUCUUGGAGUGAUGGGCAUUGAUGUCUCUCUUGCGGAUGUGAAGAGACUCACACCACGUUACACUCUUGGGCCUAAUGGAUAUUACUUUGCAAUCGACCCAAAUGGUUACGUAUUGCUUCAUCCAAAUCUCCAGCCUAAGG